AGGUAAGCUACUAAGAGCGAAUGGUGGAUGCCUUGACUGGUAAAGGCGAUGAAGGACGUACUAGACUGCGAUAAGCUACGGGGAGCUGUCAAGAAGCUUUGAUCCGUAGAUUUCCGAAUGGGGCAACCCAAUGUAUAGAGAUAUACAUUACCUAUAUAGGAGCGAACGAGGGGAAUUGAAACAUCUUAGUACCCUCAGGAAAAGAAAUCAAUAGAGAUUGCGUCAGUAGCGGCGAGCGAAAGCGCAAGAGGGCAAACCCAGUGCUUGCACUGGGGGUUGUAGGACUGCAAUGUGCAAGAGGUGAGUUUAGCAGAACAUUCUGGAAAGUAUAGCCAUAGAGGGUGAUAGUCCCGUAUGCGAAAAACAAACCUUAGCUAGCAGUAUCCUGAGUAGGGCGGGACACGAGGAAUCCUGUCUGAAUCCGGGUCGACCACGAUCCAACCCUAAAUACUAAUACCAGAUCGAUAGUGUACAAGUACCGUGAGGGAAAGGUGAAAAGAACUGAGGUGAUCAGAGUGAAAUAGAACCUGAAACCAUUUGCUUACAAUCAUUCAGAGCCCUAUGUAGCAAUACAGGGUGAUGGACUGCCUUUUGCAUAAUGAGCCUGCGAGUUGUGGUGUCUGGCAAGGUUAAGCAAACGCGAAGCCGUAGCGAAAGCGAGUCUGAAUAGGGCGCUUAGUCAGAUGCUGCAGACCCGAAACGAAGUGAUCUAUCCAUGAGCAAGUUGAAGCUAGUGUAAGAACUAGUGGAGGACUGAACCCAUAGGCGUUGAAAAGCCCCGGGAUGACUUGUGGAUAGGGGUGAAAGGCCAAUCAAACUUCGUGAUAGCUGGUUCUCUCCGAAAUAUAUUUAGGUAUAGCGUUGUGUCGUAAUAUAAGGGGGUAGAGCACUGAAUGGGCUAGGGCAUACACCAAUGUACCAAACCCUAUCAAACUCCGAAUACCUUAUAUGUAAUCACAGCAGUCAGGCGGCGAGUGAUAAAAUCCGUCGUCAAGAGGGAAACAACCCAGACUACCAGCUAAGGUCCCUAAGUCUUACUUAAGUGGAAAACGAUGUGAAGUUACUUAAACAACCAGGAGGUUGGCUUAGAAGCAGCCAUCCUUUAAAGAAAGCGUAAUAGCUCACUGGUCUAGUGAUUUUGCGCGGAAAAUAUAACGGGGCUAAAGU
rnacentral:rRNA from 1 species